UCUUCGCCUCCUUCUAGUUUACUAUGUUAUUUGAUGAAGUAUAAUCAAUAAUGUGAAUAUAAUUAUUAAGGAUGAUUACCAAUAUUUAUGCUUAGCUACCGGAAGUAGUAGGCAUUUCAGGGAAUGAAUUUAUCUUAGUGUUUGUUAUUGUUUGUGUUUGUUUUCGAUAUUUUGAUAGGAGUUGGGUGGGUAAAAUUUGCCGAACUACAUCUUAGAAAUUUUUCAACUAGUUUGGUAGGAAAUUUUGGAAUUGCUGUCUUGUUCCUCCGUUGAAGGAACCUGAAUUAAAUUUAAUUUUUGUAGGUGUCAUUUAAUUCUUGCAGGUUCAUUAUGCCAGGAAGUUCUAUGAAAAUUUGGUACCAAGUUACACGGUAUACUAGGUUGAAUGCCCAGACUAUUUGAAACAAAAGCUGAAGUAAUGAAGUACAAUGUUCGAAGAUGUUGCAAGGCCUCAUUAGAUGUUGGCAUUCGGUCCAUAGUUGACUGGUUCUACUACAAGCAGUGGCUUUCUUCAGCAAUUCAAAAAAAUGUCACAAUUCCCGCAGCCAUGCAAAAGGUUUUAAAUUUUCCUUUGGGCAUAUUGAAGUAAUUGAUUUUUAUAUUUUUCAUAUAUUUUUUUAGGAGUUUAAUACUUACAGAUUACAAAUCCUGUUUCUCGGAUAGCUCAUCCGGAUUAGUUGCAUAAGAAAGUUGAAAAAGAGGACAAGUUUCGUCAACGAAAAUUAGUUGAUGUCUUUAACUCAUUUAAAUACUUAUAUAGACAUUUUUUGUUGUUUAGAUUUGUAUCAUGAUUUAUUAUUUUUCAAGAAAAAUUUGUGUAU